rnacentral:sRNA from 1 species
CCGACAGGCCACACCGCCACAACACUGCCACCACGCACAGUGAGUCAAAAGCACAAAAUUUGAAUAAUUGCAAUGAAGAUUUUAUGAUUGAAAACUGCAAUUGAUUGAUUUAGUGUACUUGCUUGCUUGCUUAGUUUGUAGAAUUGUAGUUGCCUAGUUUGUAGAACUGUAGUAAGAUUUCUUCCCAAUUUAUCAUUUUCUAUCAUUUUUCUAUUCCAUAUGUUGGCACUUUGAUAUGUUUAUUAUUAGUAUUUCUAUAUGUUAAACAAUUUCAC